UGCUUCUAUGACGUUAGCGGCGGACGGGUGAGUAACACGUGGGCAACCUGCCUGUAAGACUGGGAUAACUUCGGGAAACCGAAGCUAAUACCGGAUAGGAUCUUCUCCUUCAUGGGAGAUGAUUGAAAGAUGGUUUCGGCUAUCACUUACAGAUGGGCCCGCGGUGCAUUAGCUAGUUGGUGAGGUAACGGCUCACCAAGGCAACGAUGCAUAGCCGACCUGAGAGGGUGAUCGGCCACACUGGGACUGAGACACGGCCCAGACUCAUACGGGAGGCAGCAGUAGGGAAUCUUCCGCAAUGGACGAAAGUCUGACGGAGCAACGCCGCGUGAGUGAUGAAGGCUUUCGGGUCGUAAAACUCUGUUGUUAGGGAAGAACAAGUACAAGAGUAACUGCUUGUACCUUGACGGUACCUAACCAGAAAGCCACGGCUAACUACGUGCCAGCAGCCGCGGUAAUACGUAGGUGGCAAGCGUUAUCCGGAAUUAUUGGGCGUAAAGCGCGCGCAGGCGGUUUCUUAAGUCUGAUGUGAAAGCCCACGGCUCAACCGUGGAGGGUCAUUGGAAACUGGGGAACUUGAGUGCAGAAGAGAAAAGCGGAAUUCCACGUGUAGCGGUGAAAUGCGUAGAGAUGUGGAGGAACACCAGUGGCGAAGGCGGCUUUUUGGUCUGUAACUGACGCUGAGGCGCGAAAGCGUGGGGAGCAAACAGGAUUAGAUACCCUGGUAGUCCACGCCGUAAACGAUGAGUGCUAAGUGUUAGAGGGUUUCCGCCCUUUAGUGCUGCAGCUAACGCAUUAAGCACUCCGCCUGGGGAGUACGGUCGCAANACUGAAACUCAAAGGAAUUGACGGGGGCCCCGCACAAGCGG
rnacentral:rRNA from 1 species